UCGGCCAAUCGAAGCCGGGCGCCCCUUCCCCCCUGGGCCGCCCCAACAGCCGUGGCUCGUGGGGUUCCUCCCAGACGCCAACGGAGCGGGGGUCGCGUUCACGCCGGGUCCCCGGACCCCCACCCUCAGCCAACCCCGGACCGGGACCCGAACCUGGACCCCUACCCCGACCAGGACCCUUAUCCGGAUCCGGACCCCCACCCGGACUCCAACCCGGAUCCCGACCCCGACCCGGAUCCGGACCCAGACCCCGACCCGGACCCCGACCCGGAUCCCGACCCCGACCCGGAUCCCGACCAGGACUCCAACCCGGAUCCAGACCCAGACCCGCCCCCAGACCCUCUCCCAGACCCAGACCCCGGACCUGGAACCGUGAACCCGGCCCAGACCCCAACGGGGACCCCGCAGGCCUGGGCUGAUCCGCUCUGCCAUCUGCCCCCGAGCCAAGUGGCCCUCCCUCCAGACGCACCGUCCAGUUAGACCUCGGCUUCCCGAGAGCGUGCUGCCCGCGUCCUCGGCUCUCCGGGAAUGAGAUGCUGGGCCAGGUGGCCGCCCGCCGGCGUCUGCAUCGCCAGGACACGCGCCAGACCUGCCCCUGGCGCCUCAGGCAGCUGGUCCCGUGGUCGGCUCUGUUGUCGCCUGAACGGGUGACCUGUCCCGAAUGGUGGUGUGUGUGCAGUUUUUAAACACUUUGACCUGAGA